AAACUGGUCACUGAUUAAGAGAAGGGUUAGAAUGAAAACCUGCUGCCACUGCGGCCCUCCAGGCCUGGGGUUCAACACCCCUGAUGAUCUCCAGAUGUUUUUCAACUGAACGAAAGCCGCCCUCGCCUUGCUGAUUUGGGUUCUAACAUUUUCAUCUGUCCCACCCUGUCUGUUGAUGAUGCUGCCAAGAAUGGAGGAAGACCCAGCAGACGAGCCCUGAUGUAAUUUCUGGGGUAACGGCAAUAGCCCUGUCUCUUCAUGGAAGUUGACUGGAAGUUGCCGUUCACUUAACCAGCUACCCAAGGUCCCAAGGAACCAGCUACCGAAAGUCACAGACCUCAAGGUAAUGUUUCACUCUGAAUCCUGGCUGAAAAACACCAGAAUAGCUUUUUUGUGAUGUUUUGUGGAGUUUAAUUUUGGAUAUUAAUCAGGGCAU